GAUAUUUGUUAACAUUUACAUUUACUGGGCUAAACCAUGGUCCAUAUUUUUUUAACAGAAUAUCAUUAUUUAUUUUUACAAAAUAUAUAUUUUUCCAUUUUUGUUGAAGUAUAAUUGACAAAUAAACACUGUAUACAUUUAAGGUAUAUGUAUACACUGUGAAAUAAUCACCACAAUCAGGCCAAUUAACAUAUCCACAGUCUCACAAAGUUACUGUUUUUGUUUUUUUAACAUGGAUGAAGCUGGAGAACAUCAUACUAGGUAAAAUCAUCCAAUACUGCGUGUUCUCACUUAGAUGUCAAAUCUAAAUUAGUUAAAGUCAUAGAAGCAGAGAGUGGAAUGGUGGUUGCAGGAGCUGGGAGGAGGGGAAAAUGGGGAAAUGUUGGUCAAAGAAUAUAAAGUUUCAGUUAUGCAGGAUAAAUAAGUUCUGGGGAUUUAACGUACUGCAUGGUGAUUACAGUUACUAGCACUGCACUGUAUGCUUGAAAUUUGCUAAGAGAUCUUAAGUGCUAUCAGAGAAAGAUGUAUCUACCUUUUAUAAAUGUCCAUUUCUAGUCUGAAAAAAUAAAUUUAUUCUCUAACAGCUGGCUGUGAGAUUCUAUAUGUCUAUUAGAUAAAGCCUGCUAAUUUUGCUAUACAAAUAUCCUACAGUCUUAACACUUUUACUGCUUGAUCCAUUAGUUUCUGAGAGAUAAGUAUGAACAUAUUCUACCAUGAUCAUAGAUUUGUGAUUUUUCUUUGUACAAGUUCUAAUAUUUUUGAUGUUAUGUGUUUUGCUUCUAUGUGUUAGGUGAUUAUAAAUCAGCAAUAAUACAUAUCUUUCAUGUAUAUUUUUAGUAUUAUCUUAUCCUUAAUGUUUAUUUCAUUUGAUAUUGAUAUAUCCAUGGCAUAUUAAUCCCAAUGUACUUCCUUCCAUUCCUUUACCUUUAGCCUCUCUAGGUCAUUGCAUUUUAGGCAUACUUCUUAUAAAUAACAUAUGGCUAAAUGUUUUUAUAUAGGAUAUAAGAACGGUGAUUUUUUUAAAAAUUUCAUUCAAUAAUAAACUUUAUUUCAUUUUUUAUUUUAUUCUCUUUUUCUUGGUCAUGCCCACGGCAUAAUUUAUUUGUAUCAUUUUGUUUUUCUUUUCUAUAUAUCUUCUUUGUUUCAGUUUACUUUUCUCUCUUCUCCAGCCUUCUAUUUACUAAUCCACUCCGUUUACAUUUUACUUUUCUCUUGUUAUAAAAAACACACAUUUUAUUUCUGUUGUUUUAAGUUGUUAGCCUUAAGAUUUUAAAUAACUGACUUAAAAUCUAAAUUUUGGCAGUAUCUCUACUCUCUUUUGGAUAAUUCAAAAACUUUAGAACACUGACAGAGAUCAUUUUCUUACAUUCUUAGAUGUCAAGUAUUUUAAUUCCACUUGGUUUUAUACCCCUCUGGAAUUAGCCACAAUUAUCGUUUUAUGCUGUCCAUGCUUAAAUUACUCAUGUAUUUACCAUUUUCUUUGUCACCACUGCUUUUUACAUCUCAUUCCUCCUGAGUUCAAUUCCUAUAAUUAUGAAGUAGUUCCAUUAAUAGUAACUCCACCACAUUUCUAUGACUGGUGAACUCUCAUUCUUUAUUUAUUUGAAAGUAUGUUCGGCAUUAAAUCAUGUACUUGUGUUAUGGUUUUCAGGUUUCUCUUCAUUUCUCACCCCAGAAACUAUGAACUCAACUAUGUACAUGAAGAAUUCUGUUAUAUCCAAUCCAACAUUACUAGAGGUUCAUUACAGCAGUAUUUCCAAUUCUCUUUACCAUUCUGCUGUCUAUUUUGGCCAUCUAUGUUUCACAGUAGACUGCGAGCUUCCCCAGGCUUCAACUAUGGUCAAGACUUCAUGGAAUCUGUGGCAGGGUCAUUCCAGGCAAUGAUAAAAGAAUGUUCAAAAUCAUGAAAUUUAAAAGUCUAAGAUGUUUUCUGGCAAUAGUCCAGUGUGGUUUAUGUUUUGGUUAUAUGAGGAUACGCAUAAGAAGCUAUGUCAGUUGACAACAAUGAUCUUCACUUCAUUCCAUAAUAAAGAAUUUGGAUUUAUCCACUAAUAAAAUUGAAGUCAUUAAGGAGAUUUAAAUGGUGGAACGUCAAUCUUAUUUGUGUUACAGGCUGAUCACUUCAGUUUCUCUGGGGCCAGAUUGAGUGUGAGAAAAAGUGGAUGUGGGGAGACUAAUGAGAUUACCACCAUAGUCCAGGAAAGAGUCAUUUUUCAUCAGCCUAUUUUCAGUACCACAGUCUGAUGUCUAGGUUUCUAGAGAGCAGAAGAGGUACUUCUUAGAAGUGUCCUGUGCACACAUAUACCACCACUUCCCCUAAAAUUUAAAUAAAACUUGGAAUGUUUAUGAAUUCAAUAAGUCAUUAAUCAAUGCCUAAUUGAUUUGACAAAACAAUGUACUAUUCCAUAGCCUCACCCUAGCUACAGCAUCAAGCCCUUAUGAAUCAUACUGAUGUUCCCAAUAGCAUGAAAAGAAAGUGAAGUUUAAAAUAAAUUAAAAAAUGAAAUCUUUAAGACAGCCUAAGUCAGAAAAGUAGCUAUAUGCUUGUUUGUGGAAAUGAUGAUCUUUCCAUUCCAGAGACUCUCUUCUAAGCUGCAUAGUUUUAGUAUACUGGGUCACUAAAUCAAUUGCCUGUAUGGACCGUUCACACCGUCUAUCAGUGAACUUACAAGAGCGUGAAAGUUCUACCUCCCAUUAAAUUAUUCUAAGAUCUAAAACAAAAUCCCCCCUUAUAUAAAACUUAUUACCUUCCUUAAGUAACCUGCAAUGGAUGAUUUUUACAGGAGAGAGACAGGCUAUUGAGAUUAGUCUGUUUUCUGAAAACACCCAUCUAUCCUCUAGUGAAUACCUUUCAGCAAACACUCAGGUUUGCCUUUCUCAAGCAAUUCCCUAGAUUGUCUGAUAGCACAGAGAUCUAGUGGUAUCUAACCUGUUUUAGUCUCUUCAAACAGAUAUUGAAGACAGGUGGAGUCCACACUGGUUGGCUCAGAAGGAAAAAAGAUAUAUAAAAAUAUACCCAGGUGGGCACAACAUGACAUUUUCUUUCAAAUGUUCUGUACUUGUGGUCUGCCAAACAUUUCAAGAAAAUUUUUCUACCUUCUUUGGACAAAGCUCUUCUGGGUAAAUGAGCUUCACAUACAACACUGAAUAGGAUAAAAGACUGAUAAGGUAUUAAGAAUUAGCAAGCAGGCUACUCAUAAAACUAUAACACAUAAAUCGCAGACUGUUUAUUCAGAUAAGAGCAUGCAAUGAUUUGUUUUUAAUUUUCUGAGAGGAAAAAUUCCCUUUCCAUGUCUCAUCCUUAUUUAUCCCUUUCAUUAUUUUUAAGGUUUGUAAACAAUGCAUUUUUUUUUCUGAUUUAGAAUGAUGGCCUUGUUACUUUUAGAUAAGUAUACCAUGCCAGGAAGAGAAUAAGAAUACUCUGCUAGCAAUGUGAGCGGUUCUUCCUGGAAAGAACAUGGCACACUCAGCUAGUUGUGAUGAUCAUGGAGAAAAAUCAGGUAUCCAUGGUCACCCUUGUGCGGCAGUCUGUGUUUUCAGUGGGUACAGAGCCACUGCCUGCUGGCACAGGGGUCUUUUCAGCCUCUCUUGAGAGGCUGUCUUCCAUAACUGCCACCCACUGAGGUACCCUAUCCUUUGUGCAGUCAUUUAGAAGAUCUGUAUUGUACUCUUAACAUUUACCUAGUUCCAGGGGCAGGUAUAAUAUGUUGGUUUGGAGCAAGUACUCUGGAGCAGGGCACUCAGGCUAGUUUCAAACCGACCUUGGGCAAUUUGCUUAAUCUCUGUGCCUUGCUCUUUUCAUCUGUAAAUUAGAGAGUAAAACUACCUCUUUGAGUUAUUUGUUGGGAUUAAUCACUUAAUGUACAGUCAGUGCUUUGAAAAGUACACAAAAGCUAAAACACUGCUUAUUACUGCUGACACCAUGUUAAUCACUGAGAAUACAGGUGUCAGGGUCCCUGUUCUCCGGAACCUCAAAAUCCACUUAGGGAAACGACGCCUAAACUGGCAUAACAAUAAAUUUUGACAAGUGUUUGACAUGGAAGUUCAAGGAGUUUAUAGAAACCCCUACAAGGGGGAUCUAACACAUUCUCAGAUGAAUCACUUUUCAAAAUGUCAUGAGAGCCAAGAUCUCUGAAGGACGAUUGGAGUUAAGAGAUCAGAUGCAUGUGGGAGUGUGUUCAUUUGUUAGGUUGAGUGGGGAGUUCGUGUGUAAAAAUCUGAAGGAAAUCUUGAUCUGGUGCAUGACAGGAAAUGAGAAAGUUUUACUGGGCUAGGCCAUAAACUGAGUGAGUUUGGGUGCUAGUGAACAUGUGGGGAGAAGAGCAAGAAAUGAAGAUGGAGAGGUAAAUAGAUAAGCCAAAACCUUAUAAACCUUUUACGAACAUGCUAACUUUGAUCAACUAUUAAGAGUUUGGAUUUUGCCAUGGGAUCAUUGACAAACCUCUG
rnacentral:lncRNA from 1 species